rnacentral:lncRNA from 1 species
UGAGGCCGCCGGCGGGCUGCGUAGUGACGCAGGCGCGAGACUGUGCGGUGGCAGCCAUGGCGGACGGCUGCGAUGAGGCUGCUCCUGGGUCUCGCGGCUAUCCAAGACCAUCGAGGGUCCCCGGCGGCGCCUGCCGUCUGCUGAGGCUGGGUGGACUCCUCUGCGGCAGAUCUCCUGUAAGAUGUGCUGGUUAAGGCUUCUGGCAGAUUCGGGUCAGUCCCAAGUGCGACCGGUCUUCUGGGGCUGCCGUCCGCAGACCCUUCUCGCAUCCACGUACCUGGCGGCCUCCCUCAUCGCGUGCUGUUGGUAGGGGGGCGAGUCAGGCCCUGUACACGUCCUGACAGGCACCCGGCCCACCCCCAGCCAACUGUGCGCUGUGUUCCUGCCCCAGCACGAGACCUGUGGGGUGUCCGCGGCAGAAGAUGUCAGAGCUGGAAGAGACCUGAGAGGCGAUCCCUUGGUGAUGGAGUCCCAGAAAGCGUAACUGUCUGCCAGCUCACGAGGCCGUUUUGUGCAGAUAGUUUGAUUACCUCUGUGGUUGGGAUUCAACUUGUCGCCUUUUCCCCGGGAAUCUCCAGAUGAGCGGUGUGUCAGCCUGGAAAAGGUUUGCGCGCCUUGUCGUCUGCUUCCAGAACAAGGAUCUUCGCUGUACGCCAAGACCCAGACCCCUCUGACAUCGGAAUGACAAGUGGGAUAUUUAAUAAAACAGUUUCAAAUUUGGAGUCA